rnacentral:lncRNA from 1 species
GAGGGUAGAGGAGGAGUCCAAAAAGGCCUAACUGCAUUUUUAACUCCAGUGAUACACACGAUAGCAUGGCACUGCGUAUCGCCCAGACAUUGCAGCUCCCUCUGACCUAGAAGGAGAGGCACGUCAGAUUACUUCAUGCAACAAGACCUGACCAGGCACAUUUCCGCAACGUUCUCUGCAGCAGAUGAUCUCAGGAGCCUGGCAUUUUACCUGUCCUCAACUCCCUCCUUCGGUGCAGAUCAUUGGAACACAGAAGCUUCACUGACUGCAUCUUGGUCAGCAACUGAUUUGCUCUGAUAGGUACCAGAGCACCUUGGAAUAUCAAUUUCACAUGAGUAAACUGAUCUGAAGACUAUUAAAAGAUUGGCUGGCA